AACGAACGCUGGCGGCAUGCCUAACACAUGCAAGUCGAACGAGACCUUCGGGUCUAGUGGCGCACGGGUGCGUAACGCGUGGGAACCUGCCCUUAGGUUCGGAAUAACUCCCCGAAAGGGGUGCUAAUACCGGAUAAUGUCUUCGGACCAAAGAUUUAUCGCCUUUGGAUGGGCCCGCGUUGGAUUAGCUAGUUGGUAGGGUAAAAGCCUACCAAGGCGACGAUCCAUAGCUGGUCUGAGAGGAUGAUCAGCCACACUGGGACUGAGACACGGCCCAGACCCCAGGGGGGGGGGGGAGGGGGAAAAUUGGGAAAGGGGGCGAAAGCCUGAACCGCCAAGGCCGGGUGAGUGGUGAGGGGCUUGGGGUUGAAAAGCGCUUUUACCGGGGAGUAAAAGGACGUAACGGGGAAAAAAGCCCCGGGUAACCACGUG
rnacentral:rRNA from 1 species